rnacentral:lncRNA from 1 species
GGGUCUUGCUCUGUCAUCCAGGCUGGCGCAAUCUCAGCUCACUUCAACUUCUGCCUCCUGGGUUAAAGCGGUUCUCCUGUCACAGCCUCCUGAGUAGCUGGGAUUACAGGCAGGCACCACCAUAAUGAGCUAAUUUUUGUAUUUUUAGUAGAGACCAGGUUUCGCCAUGUUGCCCAGGCUACUCUUGAACUCCUGGCCUCAUGUGAUCCACCCAAAGUGCUGGGAUUACAGGCGUGAGCCACGGCGCCCAGCUGGAACAAUCUUGAUAUUAGCGUGAACAAGUGAUUUCAUAGCCACCGCGCCCUGCUGGAACAAUCUUGAUAUUAGGGUGAACAAGUGACUUCAUAGCUUUCUCUGAAGGAGGAAACACUGGGAGCACCCACCCGAGAAUCAACACCAUGGAUCAUCCUGGGGAGUUAAUAGUUUUGACAUGUGUCCCAAGAUAAUUGUUAGCUUGAAUUACCACGUGGAUGGAACCAUGCUGAUCCUAAGAGCCAGGCCAAGCCUACUGCUGUUAGAAAACAUAUUUAGAAAUCACUUGGUUCUUCCUUGCCUGAACAUCAUAUAUUUAGUUACCUUGUGUGUUUAGAUGUGCUUCAGAUCUUAAAAAAAAAAAAAAAUUAUGUUAUUUGAAAG